rnacentral:rRNA from 1 species
GACGAACGCUGGCGGCGUGCUUAACACAUGCAAGUCGAACGGAAAGGCCCUGCUUUUGUGGGGUGCUCGAGUGGCGAACGGGUGAGUAACACGUGAGUAACCUGCCCUUGACUUUGGGAUAACUUCAGGAAACUGGGGCUAAUACCGGAUAGGAGCUCCUGCUGCAUGGUGGGGGUUGGAAAGUUUCGGCGGUUGGGGAUGGACUCGCGGCUUAUCAGCUUGUUGGUGGGGUAGUGGCUUACCAAGGCUUUGACGGGUAGCCGGCCUGGGAGGGUGACCGGCCACAUUGGGACUGAGAUACGGCCCAGUCUCCUACGGGAGGCAGCAGUGGGGAAUAUUGCACAAUGGGCGGGAGCCUGAUGCAGCAACGCCCCGUGCGGGAUGACGGCCUUCGGGUUGUAAACCGCUUUCGCCUGUGACGAAGCGUUAGUGACGGUAAUGGGUGAAGAAGCACCGGCUAACUUCGUG